AGUGUGCGUGACCCUCAGUGCUCUUGUUUUUCUGGCAGUCGUUCAGAAAACUGGAGCACUUGGUGGUGGAAAUCACAGGAAUUACCAGAGGAAUUACCCGGGGAUGGAUGUGGAUAACGCUUUACAAAGUGUUGCACCAGGAGGGCCGAAUGUGUGCAGGACGAGGUACAGGACUUACUGUUGUCCAGGAUGGUCAAUUCAGGCUCAUACAGGAUUUUGUCUUGUUCCCGUUUGCCGAAAUUGUCCGAGCGGAAAGUGCCUG